rnacentral:lncRNA from 1 species
CAUCAUCUGUGGUGAGAUUACUGCGACGUGGGGAAAGCAUCUGUGCAUCAAGCACGGCACCUGCAACAAGCCGUGCCGGGCAGAGGGGUACGACUCAGGCUACUGCGCCCCAUUCCCCUGGUCGACCUACUGCUGCUGCAAAAAUAAUUGUGGCGAGUCUGUGCAACCUCACAGGAGCAGCUUUAUAUGCGGUGAUAAUAGUCUACAUUAUUAACUAAGUAUACAUACCAUGUAUGGAUGCAUACAAGGUUAGUGAAAUAAAUCUCAUUUCCAGCCGUGUGUGUACCUACCUGUAGAAGGGAAAAAUAACCGUUCUCAUAAUGUGUGGGAACUGCUAUUUCCAAUUGAUGAAGAACUGCCUACCAAGUUACAUACCGUCAGUUCAUCAUAACCUAGAAGAUAGCAUCAAGACAACUAGCAAGCAAAGAUCCACAUGCAGCGACGUGGGAAGAUGGGUGGUGGAGCAAGGCCGGUUCCAGAGGAAGCUGUACCUAAGGGUCAUCGGGAUGUAACUAGGAGGGCAGCGGCAGCGGGUUCUGCCCAUACUGUGGCAGCGAGCAAGGGGCAAAGGCAAUACCGCGCUGAAGCUUGCUUAGAGAGAAUGGUGGGUACCGCAGAAUGGGACGCGCCGGCAGUGGGUUUCCUGCAUUGACGCCGUUGACCGAAGCAACGUUGCACAUCGUCCCUUUCCGCCGGCGGGCUGGAUCCGGCCGGAUCAGGGACCAGCGGUGAGAGAGAGAGAGAGAGUGAGAGAGUGGGCACCGCCAUCUUGUGUGAGAUAGUAGAAGAGACCGACCCCAGAAAGCAAGCAUUGAGUAUCCUGCCUAUAUUAUAUAGUAUAGUUUAGUGGAGCGAUUUUAUUUUUUUCUCUCCAUAACAAUUGAUUUAUAUUCUGUACAUGCGCCAUCGAGGAAUAAAAUCUUUUUUUAAA